CAGCCGGCUUUCGUUUUGUUGGGCGCCGGCAAUUCGCAAAUCGGACCACGCGCCCGCCAUUUUGUAAUACAAGCGUUUGUGAAUAGGUGUUGGACGUGCUCUUGCUUUGUGUAAACUUAUGAAAUUGUGAAACUAAUAGAUCAUAACGUAAACAAAUCAUCAAAAUGGUAGCGCAAACCAAAGUGUUUGUGGGGAGCUUGCCCCAGGGCUCAAAACCGGAGGAUUUGAGGAAGCUGUUCGAACGGUUUGGAGCCGUGACGGAAUGCGACAUAAUGAACAGAUGCGGAUUUGUUCACAUGCAAACCGAAGAGCAAGCGUCUGCAGCCAUUCGCGCCUUACACAAUACAACUUUCAAUGGUGGCGUCAUCGCCGUAGAGCGAGGUAGGAUAAAGGAGCGCGGCCAGCGAGGCGGCGGAGGCGGCGGCCGAGGUGGAAUGCGAGGGGGCAUGAGGGACCGACGCGGAGGAGGGCCCAUGCGCGGAGGACCUCCGAGGGAUGCGCCUUACCCUAUGAGGGACUCGCGGCCGAUGGGGCCCAUGCGCGGCGGAGACAUGAGAGGUCCGCCCAUGGGUGGCAUGGCUAUGAGAAACGGCAUGGGAGGCGGAGCGCCCUACGACCGGGGCAUGGAUCGGGCGCCGAUGCCCGGCUACGAUGACAGAUACAACGGCUACGGUGAAGACAGACGCGGUUUCGCACUGAUGGACGGUCGCGGAGCGAGAGACCAGUAUGGAGCACCUCCUCCCAUGUACCCAGACGACAGACGAGGCUACGGAGCCGUGGAUGAAAUGGCGCCCAUGUAUCCCGAUGACAGACGUGCGCCGCCCAUGUACCCCGACGAGAGGGACAUGAUGGACAGGCGGGGAGGUAUGCGAGGUGGACCCAUGCCGAUGGCUUCAGGAUAUGAUAGAGCACCACCUAGGCCGGCACCUAUGGGCAAUGGAGAUAUGUAUAGUCGUAGAACUCCACCACCAAUGCGUGGUGGGGGAGCAGCCGGAGGAUAUGACCGGGAUCCUUAUGCUCAACAAUAUGCGCCCAUGGGCCGCGCGUGUGCGGGCGGCGGCGGCGCGGGCGCAGGGCGCGGGCCGCGCACCAACAAAAACUGUAUUGCGCUCGUCUAGCGCCUUCAGCGACACUAGCGCCGCUUCCUUCCACGAGUCGCACUCACUCGCACUCGCACCACGGCACCUCGGAUUCCGUACCGAAUCAUGUUAAUCUCGAUCAUCGACCAGCCAGUAGAUGGCGCUACUACGCUGCUGCAUGUCGUAUUACCAAGUAACUACUUAGAACGAUAACGGACUUUUGUAACGCCCUAACAUUUAAUUUCAAUUGUUGUGUAUUAAUUAGACUGCGCCACUUCCAUAUUUUGUGAACAGACUGACAGAUUGAGUGAAUAACGCCAUCUAGUGAUUAUAAUUAUUAUUUGUGGUAUUAAAUCUAUUUAAAUCGGCAAUCAAAUCUGUACGUGACGCGAGACGCCUCGCGCUCUGAGCGAUAAUCUUGAAUUGUAUAAGGUAUUAAGAUAUAAGAUUUAGAUUAAACAAUUUGUUUUAAAUAUUGUUUGAGUUUACGAUGCCACCUUCCCACCUCACCCGAACGAUCCCUCCCAUCCUUCCGGAGUGAUAUAAUACAAUUGAGUUGCAGGACGACGUUUCGCUUUACCGAGAUGGAGACUUAGAUUAAGCCUAGUUAGGUUCAUCGUUGUCGUUAACGUUGCGAGCUUUCGAUGGAAAGUGCGUGCGAGAAUUUCAGACGUAAACGGCGUAACGGGCGGCUGAGGCAUAGCCGAUGCUAUGACCUUCGAGUUACGGCAAACGUUUGCGGCGGCAGAAGACGUCAGUAUGAAUCGUAUGACCCGCCGGGAUGAAGAAUGUAACUUGAGUGUUGAAUGUAAAACUUGAAUUGUAUCUAUGAUUUGCCAUGCAGCUAUGUGUUGGGAGUGAAAUAAACGAUAUACGAAA